UGGGGAAUUUUGGACGAAUUGGGCGAAAGCCUGAUCCAGCAAUGCCGCGUGUGUGAAGAAGGCCUUCGGGUUGUAAAGCACUUUUGUCCGGAAAGAAAUCCUUGGCUCUAAUACAGUCGGGGGAUGACGGUACCGGAAGAAUAAGCACCGGCUAACUACGUGCCAGCAGCCGCGGUAAUACGUAGGGUGCAAGCGUUAAUCGGAAUUACUGGGCGUAAAGCGUGCGCAGGCGGUUUGCUAAGACCGAUGUGAAAUCCCCGGGCUCAACCUGGGAACUGCAUUGGUGACUGGCAGGCUAGAGUAUGGCAGAGGGGGGUGAGAAUUCCACGUGUAGCAGUGAAAUGCGUAGAGAUGUGGAGGAAUACCGAUGGCGAAGGCAGCCCCCUGGCAAGUACUGACGCUCAUGCACGAAAGCGUGGGGAGCAAACGGAUUAAU
rnacentral:rRNA from 1 species